GUGUGUCUGUUUGCUAUUACUAAUCAAUCAGCAGACUUUGUGAGAGCCACCGCCGCCGGUGACAACUACUUUUGGACAAAUGAGAAUCCAGAACCUUAUCUUUUUGAGCCUGAAUAUACGGAGGAUGAGCUACAGGUUAUCAGGAAGAACACGAGCGCCUAAGUCCCAGCAGGAAGAACACUGCAUGACGGAUUGCUUCGCAUGACUUCAAGAUGUUGUCAGUCAUGUUGGUUUGUUGUAAAUCUCCGCCUGGUCAGUGACUUCCUGGAAAGACGUCUAGGAUGCUUAAUUGUCCUGCCGUUACAUCUUGUCACAUGAUUUUGCUGCCAUGAAUUGGCCUGGUGAGCAUCGCGCUUUCAUUGUGGAAACGUUUAUCAAAACAAACGAAUCUGUAACUGCAACACAACGAGCGUUCCGUUUGCACUUCAAUCUUGGUAGACAUGAUCCCGUACCAGCUCCAAACACCAUCUUGUUAUGGGUUACCAACUUCUGAGCUACUGGAUCUGCAUCGAGUGUGUGGACAAUAAUGGAUCCCAUUUGACUGAUUUAAUUUUUAAAACAUAAUGAAACAGA